CUGGUGCCAGCAGCCGCGGUAAUCCAGCUCCAAUAGCGUAUAUUAAAGUUGUUGCAGUUAAAAAGCUCGUAGUUGAAUUUCGGGGUCAGUAAGUUGGUCGUGCCUACGGUAUGCACUGGCUUUACUGAUUCCUCCUUCUUGAAGAACUGUAAUGCCAUUAGUUUGGCGUUGCAGGGAAACAGGACUGUUACUUUGAAAAAAUUAGAGUGUUUAAAGCAGGCAAUCGCUUGAAUACAUUAGCAUGGAAUAAUGAAAUAGGACGUUCGAUCCUAUUUUGUUGGUUUCUAGGGGUUGACGUAAUGAUUAAUAGGGAUAGUUGGGGGCAUUAGUAUUCAAUUGUCAGAGGUGAAAUUCUUGGAUUUAUUGAAGACUAACUACUGCGAAAGCAUCUGCCAAGGAUGUUUUCAUUAAUCAAGAACGAAAGUUAGGGGGAUCGAAGACGAUCAGAUACCGUCGUAGUCUUAACCAUAAACUAUGCCGACUAGGGAUCGGAUGAUGUUAAUUUUUUAAUGACUCAUUCGGCGCCUUACG
rnacentral:rRNA from 1 species